rnacentral:misc_RNA from 1 species
GAAAUGCGGUAAGUAAUGUGAAUUGCAGAAUUCAGUGAAUCAUCGAAUCUUUGAACGCACCUUGCGCUCCUUGGUAUUCCUUGGAGCAUGCCUGUUUGAGUAUCAUGAAAUCUUCAAAGUAAAUCUUUUGUUAACUCAAUUGGUUUCUACUUUGGUAUUGGAGGUCUUUGCAGCUUCACACCUGCUCCUCUUUGUUCAUUAGCUGGAUCUCAGUGUUAUGCUUGGUUCCACUCGGCGUGAUAAGUUAUCUAUCGCUGAGGACACUGUAAAAGGUGGCCAAGGUAAAUGCAGAUGAAACGCUUCUAAUAGUCCAUUGACUUGGACAAUACUUUUAUGAUCUGAUCUCAAAUCAGGUAGGACUACCCGCUGAACUUAAGC